UUCUGGCUGGGCAUCUCCCACUUGUGACAAAAGCCUCCUAAAAAUCUGCCAGCCAGGCAGACCCAGCACCCAGAACCUACCAGAAUCAAUUCCGGGGUCAGUGCGUGGGACAGCCCAGGAAUGUCAUGCUGAUGGAGGUCACGAUUCUUGCCCCUUCCAGCCAAACCAUGUACGCAGAACCUGCCCUGCACCCCCAGUGAAAAAAGCUUCAAGGGAAAAAAGAACCACUGUGAGAGGGAAGAAGAUGGGCUCUUGGGAGCUCCUUGCCAUAAAAUGAAAGAACUUCACACUUGAAGGCGUGCUUGCCAGCUCAGCCUACUUGGGUGUCAUUUAUAAGAAGUAGGUUCUCCCUUUGUGCACAAACACCCUUUGAUAUGGUGCUUCUGCCAUAGCCUGGAUUGUUGUUUGCAAGCAGAAUUCACUUUCCUUGUGAGGAAACAAGUCUCCCGUGCCUUUGCGUGUCUGUCAGGAAGUGAAACUGCCUCAGUGUUCUUCCGAGCGUCCUGCCCUGAAUUUCUGAACAACUGGGAGUCAGUGGAGGACCUUCCCAAGCAUGUUCUAUGGCACCUGAGCCUUUGUACUUCGCCCUGCUGUUCCACUAACUGUGUGCCACACUCACUGAGAACGACGGAGGUCCACAGUGCCUAACACAAGAAGUGCCUGCAUUUGUAUCCUUCUCCAUGCUUUUCCAUGACAGAAGUGCAUCUUUUUUUCUGGGAGAGUUCAAGUGCGGGUCGAACAAUCGAUUCCUCCUCCUUUUCUUUUUUAAGUUUCCUGUCGUUCUUUUGCCCAGAUCAGCACUGAAGGAAAAUAGGAAGGGCAGCCUGGAGUGUGCACGUCUGUACAGCCAGAGACAGAACGCACGGCUGCGUCUGUGUGAGCACACGCAGGAUUUCAUACGUACACAAACACGUACACACACACACACACACACACACGUAUGUUUGGUCCUGCCUGUCUGUGUGCACCAAACACUGCGGCGUUCUUACAGGACACGUAUUUCAGAGACGGGAAUAAAGCUGGGAAGUGGGAAAAGUUUGGAAGCACUGCUCGGUUCCAAGCCGGACUAUUAACCCUUCCCAACAUUCUCCCCCAGGAACUGCAAAAGCUUUGAAGGAAAUGCUGUAAGAUCCCAGACAGUUCCUACAAUUUUCCACGUGGGGAGAAAGGAGGGUUAUUCUGCGAGCAGCAUUGUUCCAGCACCAUAAAUUCAGCUGAUUAUCCACAAUCCUUACGGCUGCGUUUAGUCUCAUAAAGACCGGGGAAAAUAACAACAAAAACCCAGAAAACGAGAGAAAUUCCCAUCCUGCGUUUUCUGGCAGGAAAUCUGACAGGAUCGUCACAACUCAAAGGAAAGAAUGCGUGUAAACUGGGCUCUGAUUGGAAACACGGCAGGCAGGCAGAGCAGGCAGCGCAGCAGUUCGUUCUGUGCAACUUUGACAGAGGUUUCCAAGAGAGAUGCUCUGAUCUGACGAGCAUCCUCUGGGGCUGCGAGUUGGAACUUUGUGACGCUGGGAACCCAAAUGUGUGCGAGAUGGGCGCUAUUUUGCUGUGAUUCUGCAGAAGGAGCACGGAGACGCUGCCUGUCUGGAGUCCCAUAAAACAGAUCUUUUCCCUGUCAUUAAGAAUAUUGAUGUUCAUUAGGCCCGGGCGUCAAUGAGUCUUUGUGCAAAUGAAACGAAAUCUGAGUCAAAUUGUGACCCUGAGUCCAACACGGAACUGCUCAUCGGCUGCACUCAGGGGUGGGGGAUCAGAGGUUCCCCGGCACCAAAAAUCCACCUCCCCAACUAUGAGACAAAAACCUCCCUGCGGCCACAACCGCGGAGCCGAAGGAAACCUCGAGCCCCCCGCCCCAAACCACCCUGCUCACAACGUCCCUUCUGAUAAAGGUGCUACUUUUAGCAGCCUCUCAAGGUGAGAUCCCCCAUGGAAGACAGGGGCUGCCCCAGCUCCCGGCACAGCAUUCUGCAGGUAAAGCUCCUUCCUUUGAAUGUGCUGCGAGGGCCCUUCUCCCGCUGCCGUGAGUCUGAGGCUGAUGUUCCUGCUGUACAAACUCGGGGCUAAUAAAGCAAGCUCGAGCCUCGUAAUUCACAGCAAGGCGCUUUGACGGAGCACUUUCAGUGUUAACAGUGUGACGGGCGCUUUUUGGAGCUAAUGUCUCACUGAUAUUAACGGCCGUGCCCACGGAGCAAAAUCUGCAAUGUAAAAGCGAGUGGCUUGCUAAAUAUUUACAAGCUCGCACAUCUUGCUGUCCCAUUCAUUUCCUUGACCUUUCAUGCAG
ensembl:lncRNA